rnacentral:rRNA from 1 species
UUAUCGUUUACUUGAUAGUGCCUUACUACUUGGAUAACCGUGGUAAUUCUAGAGCUAAUACAUGCUAAAAGACCCGACGCUUGAAGGGUUGUAUUUAUUAGAUUAAAAACCAAUGCCCUCUGGGCUCCCUGGUGAAUCAUGAUAACUGCACGAAUCGCAUGGCCUUGCGCCGGCGAUGGCUCAUUCAAAUUUCUUCCCUAUCAACUUUCGAUGUUUGGAUAGAGGCCAAACAUGGUUGCAACGGGUAACGGAGGGUUAGGGCUCGACCCCGGAGAAGGAGCCUGAGAAACGGCUACUACAUCCAAGGAAGGCAGCAGGCGCGCAAAUUACCCAAUCCCGACACGGGGAGGUAGUGACAAUAAAUACUGAUACAGGGCUCUUUUGGGUCUUGUAAUUGGAAUGAGUACAAUUUAAAUCCCUUAACGAGGAACAAUUAGAGGGCAAGUCUGGUGCCAGCAGCCGCGGUAAUUCCAGCUCUAAUAGCGUAUAUUAAAGUUGUUGUGGUUAAAAAGCUCGUAGUUGAACCUUGGGCCUGGCUGGCCGGUCCGCCUCACCGCGUGCACUUGGCCGGCCGGGCCUUUCCCGCUGUGGAACCCUAUGCCCUUCACUGGGUGUAGCGGGGAAACAGAACUUUUACUUUGAAAAAAUUAGAGUGCUCCAGGCAGGCCUAUGCUCGAAUACAUUAGCAUGGAAUAAUAAAAUAGGACGCGCGGUUCUAUUUUGUUGGUUUCUAGGACCGCCGUAAUGAUUAAUAGGGACAGUCGGGGGCAUCAGUAUUCAGUUGUCAGAGGUGAAAUUCUUGGAUUUACUGAAGACUAACUACUGCGAAAGCAUUUGCCAAGGAUGUUUUCAUUAAUCAGGAACGAAAGUUAGGGGAUCGAAGACGAUCAGAUACCGUCGUAGUCUUAACCAUAAACUAUGCCGACUAGGGAUCGGACGAUGUUAUUACUUGACUCGUUCGGCACCUUGCGAGAAAUCAAAGUGCUUGGGCUCCAGGGGGAGUAUGGUCGCAAGGCUGAAACU